GAUGAACGCUAGCUACAGGCUUAACACAUGCAAGUCGAGGGGAAACGACAUUGGAAGCUUGCUUCCUUUGGGCGUCGACCGGCGCACGGGUGAGUAACGCGUAUCCAACCUUCCCGCAAGUAAGGGAUAACCCGUAGAAAUGCGGCCUAAUACCUUAUGUUUUCCUUAGAGGGCAUCUGAUGAGGAACAAAGAUCCGUCGCUUGCGGAUGGGGAUGCGUCUGAUUAGUUAGUCGGCGGGGUAACGGCCCACCGAGACGACGAUCAGUAGGGGUUCUGAGAGGAAAGUCCCCCACAUUGGAACUGAGACACGGUCCAAACUCCUACGGGAGGCAGCAGUGAGGAAUAUUGGUCAAUGGACGGGAGUCUGAACCAGCCAAGUAGCGUGCAGGACGACGGCCCUAUGGGUUGUAAACUGCUUUUAUAGGGGGAUAAAGUGUGCCACGUGUGGCAUAUUGCAGGUACCCUAUGAAUAAGGACCGGCUAAUUCCGUG
rnacentral:rRNA from 1 species